GUCUUGUCAAUGAUGUUAUGUAAAUACAAAUGUCUGAACAUAUGAGUUCAAGUGAUUCCAUGUUUAAACUGAGACGAGAC